rnacentral:tRNA from 1 species
UAAGUUUUAAUAAUUUAAAAAAAAUAUUGGUCUUGUAAAUCAAAAAUAAGAUUUAAUCUUUUAAAACUUCA